rnacentral:rRNA from 1 species
AUUGAACGCUGGCGGCAUGCCUUACACAUGCAAGUCGAACGGUAACGCGGGGCAACCUGGCGACGAGUGGCGAACGGGUGAGUAACGCAUCGGAACGUGCCCAGUAGCGGGGGAUAGCCCGGCGAAAGCCGGAUUAAUACCGCAUACGACCUACGGGUGAACGAGGGGGAUCGCAAGACCUCUCGCUAUUGGAGCGGCCGAUGUCAGAUUAGGUAGUUGGUGGGGUAAAAGCCUACCAAGCCUACGAUCUGUAGCUGGUCUGAGAGGACGACCAGCCACACUGGGACUGAGACACGGCCCAGACUCCUACGGGAGGCAGCAGUGGGGAAUUUUGGACAAUGGGCGCAAGCCUGAUCCAGCCAUGCCGCGUGCGGGAAGAAGGCCUUCGGGUUGUAAACCGCUUUUGUCAGGGAAGAAACGCUCUGGACUAAUACUCUGGGGUAAUGACGGUACCUGAAGAAUAAGCACCGGCUAACUACGUGCCAGCCGCCGCGGUAA